CUUCCGGCGCCACUAUGGCAUCACCAUGGCAACCCGAGGGCCAAGUCAAGUUUUUCUGACUCUUAGAACUACUCAAGAGCUCCUUCCCCGCCUGUAGGAGCUUGCAUCACCAUGACAACUCAAAGGUCUCUCAGUUCUCUUUACUGACCCUUGAAGGGUCCUUAGGGGUCACGGCCCCAGGCUCCUCCGGCUCCUAGCUCAUCCUUCACCAUGGCAACUGGAUGCUGUGUAUCAUGGUUCUUGAAGACUCUGGAACCAGCAGCUUCCGGAGGAGCAUUUUCCUGUCCAGGCUAAAGUAACGAAGAGGAGGCAGGAACAUCCCGGGGCCGGGCAAGAUGGGAGCCAUUGGAAUGCGAGCUGUGAGCAGUCAGGAACGGCAAGAUAGACGGAAGGAAGUGACUGAGCGCAGGACGCAGCUUUGUUAUGGUGGUGGACAGUA